AUAUUGUUAAAGGGAUUGGAAAGAGGGUAGUUGCUGGAAGAUUUUAUGCAAGAUAUUUUGCGAGGGAGGAUAACGAGCUUGGAUCGGAGACUCGUGUUUUAACGACUGAAGCGAGUGUACCUAGAUCACCCACGCGCUCUCGGCUCCGCUCUCUUGAUAUAUUCAGAGGGUUCUGUAUUGCUCUUAUGAUCUUUGUGAAUGCCGGUGGCGGUGGCUAUGGUAUCUUCAAGCACUCUGUAUGGAACGGUCUGACGGUCGCUGAUGUGGUGUUCCCCUGGUUCGCGUUUGCGAUGGGCGAAGCCCUAGUGCUGUCGCUGCAUGCCAGACUUAGAACUUCGCUACCGAGACUCUCAGCGUUUGGUCAGGUAUGUGUAAACGUUUUUAACUGCU